CAUGCAAGUCGAGCGAACAGACGAGGAGCUUGCUCCUCUGACGUUAGCGGCGGACGGGUGAGUAACACGUGGGUAACCUACCUAUAAGACUGGGAUAACUCCGGGAAACCGGGGCUAAUACCGGAUAACACAUGAAACCGCAUGGUUUCAUGAUGAAAGACGGUUUUGCUGUCACUUAUAGAUGGACCCGCGGCGUAUUAGCUAGUUGGUAAGGUAACGGCUUACCAAGGCAACGAUACGUAGCCGACCUGAGAGGGUGAUCGGCCACACUGGAACUGAGACACGGUCCAGACUCCUACGGGAGGCAGCAGUAGGGAAUCUUCCGCAAUGGGCGAAAGCCUGACGGAGCAACGCCGCGUGAGUGAUGAAGGUCUUCGGAUCGUAAAACUCUGUUAUUAGGGAAGAACAAGGAUGUAAGUAACUAUGCAUCCCUUGACGGUACCUAAUCAGAAAGCCACGGCUAA
rnacentral:rRNA from 1 species